rnacentral:rRNA from 1 species
AUAUUGCUCAAUGGGCGAAAUCCUGAAGCAGCAACGCCGCGUGGAGGAUGAAGGGUCUAUGACUUGUAAACUCCUGUAAAGAAGGAAAAAAUUCCCAUUAGAUGGGAGAUGAUGGUACUUCUGGAGUAAGCCCCGGCUAACUACGUGCCAGCAGCCGCGGUAAUACGUACGGGGCAAGCGUUGUCCGGCUUUACUGGAUGUAAAGGGUGCUCAGGCGGAUUUGUAAGUCAGAGGUGAAAUCUUACAGCUUAACUGUGAAACUGCCUUUGAUACUGCAAGCCUAGAGUAUGGAAGAGAGUGAUGGAAGAUCUGGUGUUGCAGUGAAAUGCGUAGAUAUCAGAUACAACACCAAUGGCGAAGGCAGUCACUUGGUCCAUUACUGACGCUAAAGCACGAAAGCGUGGG